ensembl:lncRNA LINC02096 long intergenic non-protein coding RNA 2096
GGUAACUUGGUUGGGUGUUCUUCUCUGCUGUGUAGGCUUUGUUCUUUUGCUCUUUGCAGUAAAUGUUGCUGCUGCUGACUGUUGGGUCCCAGCCGUCUUUAAAAGCUAUUACACUCACGGUGAAGGUCUGUGGUUUCACUCCUGAAAUCAAGCGAGUGUACGAACCCACCGGAAGGAAGAAACUCCAGACUCCGAAGGAACAAACUCUGGACACACCAAAUGUAAGAAUUGUAACACUCACCGCGACGGUCCGUGGCGUCCACCCUCGCAGCUUCUUUCUUGAAGUCGCCGAGACCAAGAGCGCACCGAAAGGAACCAAUUGUGGACACAUCCGUUUUAGUGGAAUAAUAGUCCUUGGUUCUCUGGACAACCGGGAGAAUUGCAUUUUCUGAGGCCCACGAUAAGCACCCAACCGUUAAUAUUUCCAUGCUUCUCUGUCCAUCCCAUGGAGCCUGGGGCUUGAGGGACUGUGCAGUGAGGCAGCAACUCACAUCUCCAGCUGUUGGACUGGUCCUGCCAGCGACGUCUGCUCAGUAGAACAAGCAGCACUUCCCCCAGCUCAGCACUGUCUCAUUUCUGAGACUGAACACCCCGUGGUCACUCUACAUGGAUGGGUAGGUUUCCUGAAGGCAGUGCAGUGGAUUUUAAUACCCAGGGCCUGGUCUCCUAUGGCAGGUGGCACUUAAGUUCUCUGCAGAGGCAGACAUUUUUUGUUUUGGAGUCUGCAAGAAUAUCUAGCCAUCACUUCUUCCCCACAAGAACAAUGGGUGAUGCACUAUGUUGUACCUGGAUCUAAUGAUGAAUGAAAUGGUUGUAACAUUUGGCUUUAGAAGUUGUUUCAAAUGCAAUAAAUCAUACCUGGCACACAAGCAGGUUGUUACAAAACA